AUUAACAAGUGCACAUUUUACACAUAUUCGUAAAUUUGUUUUUUGCCCUUUAAUAUCACAUUGUGUGCUGUCACGUUUGAUUACUUCGUCGUUGUUUAGCUUCUGCUCAAACCCUAAUUCAGCUUUUUCUCCACAAUUUACCACCAUAUUAGAUCAUCAGAUGGCAGCUAAGCCCCUAACUAGUGAGGCUAUCGCUCUUACAGAGAAGAAAAUGGAUAUGUCAUUGGAUGACAUCAUCAAAAUUUCGAAGACUCGUGGUAUGAAGCCGAACAAACAAAGAGUCUCUAAUAAGGGUCAGAAAUCAUUUAACAAUGCUUCCCAAGAUAAAGGUUUGAAAGUCAAAAGGUUUAUGGACACAAGAACUUCCCUCAGACAGGGUGCUCUUGCUAAAAGGAGGUCAAACUUUCAGGGAAAUCAGUUCCCUUUGGCAACUGAGGCUGCUAAAAAGGCUUCUGUUGCUCCUAUUCGAAACAAAGCUUCUAAUCAGUUUAGGCCAUUGAAUGCUAAUAAAUCAAGGUAAUUGAUGGCUUUCCCGUGGCAGACUAUGCCAUGCCAUCCACUUGUCUAUUUCCCAGAGCGCAAGUGGUUGUUGUCUUUCAUUUAGUUGGGUGCUGGCUUCUUCUGGGAACUUUUGCUUGUGUCGUUGAAAUCAUGGCUUUUUCAGCCUUAUUAGUUAACCCCCUGCAGUUGGCGUUUGGGUGCAUGACAUGUGGGAUGGGUUAAUUAAAUUUUGUUGGCUAUUUACUGCCAAAGAAAUUAUGCUUUGCAGUGAUAUAAGUGAAGCAAACGAAUUUCCCUGUGGAAGUUAAGAGAAAAUGGUGUUAAGUCCCCAUAGACUGUUUGCUAUGGUAUACUAAUAUCAUAAACUGGCCCUACUUGAAAUAUCUCCUAUAAAUUAUUAAUGUUGUUGAAUAGGUUUAUUCGGGGGCAUAUGAAGUGUUAUUGGAGGAUCUUUCUGUUUUAGUUGUUGCAUUCAAGACACAAAAUCAUCUGAAACUCUCUCGUUAAACGAUUGCCCCAGCUUUUCAUAGUCUCUUUGGGUGUUUGGACAAGCCUGUAUUAUAUUAGGGGGAUAAUUAAGUGGACAUGUUAUUGCUCAUGGUCUGGGCAUCUCUGGUGUUCUACAAUAUUCUACAAUAUUCAGCAUCUGCUCCAUAUUAUGAUGGCCACGGGAGUGAAUUGGGUGGGGUGUAUUACUUUCUUUGUUUAACAAAUGGUUGUUUAAACAUGAACCUACUUAGUCAGCAUUAUUGGUUGGAAUGAAUAUUUGGGGCUAGUGAUGCAGACCAGCUUGUUUUGUGUGUGCUCUUUUGCCAGCUAAAGCAAUACUUCCAUCUUCCUUGGUUUUCAACAUAAAUAAUUGGCUGUGAGAAACCCAUGAAGUUUAUGGCGUGUCUGGGGGUUGAUCUACUGUUUCGGCUAAGGUUUAUGUUGUUUCAAUGAGCCAGGGAAGACUUUUUUAAUGCCCCCUGAAGGAGGGGUUGUUUUCCAUAAGUCUUGGCAAAUGGCAAAUGCUGAAUUGUGGUUGUCUGUAAGUUGAUAAUGAGCUUCAGAUAUGUCUGGGUAUAUCUUCCUUGGUUAUGAAGUAUCGAAUAAAAUAAGAGAUCCACAAGUUUGUCAUGUUGCUUCUGGACCGUGGUUAACUGAUCACUUAAGCUGAGGGAUCUUUCUGACUUGAUGCCUUGUUUCCAAGGCACUGUUAUUUUCACCUGCAUAUAUAUUUAAUCUGUGAUAUAAUCUUUUUACAGGGCUGGGGCCUCGACUUUCCAGAAGAAUGCUGUAGCAAGAGUUGGCUUUGUUGUGAAGAAAACGCUACAACAAUCCGCACAGAAGCCUCAGACCUUGGACGCUCUAUUUGGUAACAUGAAAGAA